GAAUGGGAUAGGUGCUUAUAAAAGAGGCGUGAGGUAGCUUUUUUGCCACUUCUUUCAUGUGAGAAUACAGCUCAAAAGUACUAUCUGUGAGGAAUGGUCCCUCACCAGACAUUGAAUCUUCCGGUAACUUCAUUUUGGACUUUCCAAUCUCCAGAACUAUGAGAAAUAAAUUUCCUUGGUUUACAAUAUAAUCAAUGUUUAGUAUUUUGUUAAAGCAGACUGAACAGGCUAGGAUAUAUUAUCCUUAAUAUAAUCAUUCCAACAAGAGAAAAAAAGAGCAGAAUUGGUAGAGCGUAUAGGCAGUGGGGGUUCAGCAACCAUAAGAAUCAAAGUUAAAAUUUCAACCAGGAACUAUAAAAGAAAAAAAUGCUCUGGACACUUGUUACAAAUAGCAAGGAAACUGUAGUCCCAGCUACUCCAGAGGCUGAAGCAGAAAGGUCACUUGAGGCCACAGUUUGAAGCCAGUGUGGGCAACAUAACAAGACCCCAUUUCUAGAAAAAGAAAAAAAGAUAAGGAAGACUUCAUUCAAGACUCUUGCAAUAUGAAUCAAGACUGUUUCAAUAGAAGAAAGCAAUUAUAUUCAACUUCACUGAAAGAAAAGGUGGGAGAAUUUUAAAAUGUUAGAAUAA
rnacentral:lncRNA from 1 species